ACUAUUUUGGCAGAUUAGUGCAAUUAAUUUAGGAUUAAUAAAUGUUAUUCAAAUAGUA
rnacentral:tRNA from 1 species